rnacentral:lncRNA from 1 species
UGGAGCUCGAUUUUCUCAUCUGCAAUCUCAGAACCUAAGGACCCAGCCAUGGAGCAGUCGGCCUUCACGGAGCAGGAUGCUGGGAGCAGGCUGGUGAUGCGUCUCCAUGAGCGGCCAGCCCUGCUGGUCAGCAGCACACCUGGACAGGUCUGCACGACCCCUGGGGCGCUUGGGGCUGGUGUGACAGGCACCUGGCCAACCUGUGUUCUCCUUACCCCUGCCAGUCCUGGAUGCCCCCACCCCGCCACGGUCUCAUUGAGAAGGGGAGGGCGUGUGAGCUGGAAGAGUGCUGUCUAGAAACAGGCCCCUGACAUUCAAUUCUCUUCUCAUAGAGGACGAAGACUUCUCUAUCUUGCUGGCAGCUUUAGAAAGUAGGUGUGUGGCUGUGGUGAGGAGCUCUGGGCUUGUCGGGGCCACUGAGCUGUGAGCUGCUUGCCUGGCCUGCAACAUGUUCCUGUCCCGGGCUACUGGGUGGGGCAGCCUGGGGACAGUAGGGGUGGUGGAGGUGGGCCUCCCUGAAUCCCCAUUUGGGUCAUUGAGUGACCAGGCCCUCAGGCUGAAAUGCCCCCUCCAGGAGAGUAUCUCACAGAGGCUGGGGGCCUCCCUGCCAGGGCAGUGCACUUUCUCCACCUGACCAGGUGACUCUGGCUAUUGUUUAUCUAAAAAUUUUUUUCUGAAUGGGGAUGGUGGCUCACACCUGUAAUCCUAGAACUCUGGGAGGCUGAGGCAGGCAGAUCACCUGAGGUCAGGAGUUC